CACCAGGAACAUAUCAAUUAAACUAUACAUGCAAUGGUCCUGCUAUAGUACCAAAGCUCUUUUGGCCAGGUAGGUAUUAUGGAAAAGCUACUGCAUACAAUGAGGAAGGAGAGGAAAUGAUGUGCCAAAUGACAGAAGUUACUAUAAACUAAACUGCAUGUAUUCUAAUAUGACUUGAAUACAAUUACUUUAACAUU